UAAGGAAUAUUGGUCAAUGGACGCAAGCCUGAACCAGCCAUGCCGCGUGGAGGAUUAAGGCCCUCUGGGUUGUAAACUCCUUUUAUCUGGGAAGAAAUGUACUUUUUCUUGAGUACUUGACGGUACCAGAGGAAUAAGCACCGGCUAACUCCGUGCCAGCAGCCGCGGUAAUACGGAGGGUGCAAGCGUUAUCCGGAUUUACUGGGUUUAAAGGGUGCGUAGGUGGGCUUAUAAGUCAGUGGUGAAAUCUCCGAGCUUAACGUGGAAACUGCCGUUGAUACUAUAGGUCUUGAAUUAUCUGGAGGUAAGCGGAAUAUGUCAUGUCGCGGUGAAAUGCUUAGAUAUGACAUAGAACACCAAUUGCGAAGGCAGCUUACUACAUAUAAAUUGACGCUGAGGCACGAAAGCGUGGGGAUCAAACA
rnacentral:rRNA from 1 species